GGCGGCCCCAGAGAAGGGAAAGGGUCCGGGCCCAGUGAGGCCCCCGGGGGAGGAGGGUCCGAGGUGGGAAGGAGCCGGUUUGUAACUGAGCGACAGGACAGACCCAGACCGUUGAAGCAGCGGGUGCCUUUUGUGCUCACUCCUGGAGAAUUCAGGACUCGGAGUAAGUGCCCAGUGUUUACCUGGACUGGGAGGAAGGAAGGCUAAUCCCAGGGACUCGGUUGGGGAAAGGCUCGUCCACUCUCGAUUGACCCCUCCUCGCGCGUUGACAGCAGUGAUCCCAUGGAAAGGUGAGGGGGUUCGUCAUUUAGUAGAUGAGGAGCCUGAACUGUACAAUAAUUAGAAGUUGAGAAAAUUUAGUGAGUUUUAAGGUAAUCAGGUUUACCGUUUACUGAAGUUCCUGUGGGAAAACAAGCAUUCAAGCAUAGCCAGCGAAACAAGAUGAAAAGCCGCCCGGAACCGGCCCUUCCAGACCUGAAACAUCCGGUAAAACCCACGUAACUGCAACAGUUGGGGAUUGCCACCCAGUUGAACAAUGGAAUAGAGCAGAAGCUCAGAAAUAGACCUGAAGCCAUACGGCAGCGUGGUAUAUGACAAAGACGGCAUCUCAGAUCACGGGGCCGGCACCAUCUGUGGUCCUAGGAGAGCUGGACAGCCAUGGCUUUAAAGGUAAAAUUAUGUCCAUAUCUCUCACCAUCUAUAAGAAAAAAUUCCAAAUGGAUGAAGGAUGUCGUGUACAACCUAAGACUGUGGGAGAGAGGGCGCUUCCCCCACAACGGCAGUGUGGGAAGGGCGGUGAGAGAGAAGACUGGUAAGUUCGACUGCUGACGAGUGUCUUGUAACUUUGCACGGCACAUGCACAAAAGACCACUGACAAACGGGAGGAGAUACGCGCAGCAUAAACCGCAGACAGAGGGUUAAUUUCUUUUAAUGAAGAACUCUUUAAACGUUGGGUUCCAAGGCAGUUAGGCCAGAAAAAUAAUAACGGGCAACCAGCCUGGAAAGAAAGAAGUAAAACUUCUCUGCAGACGGCAUGACCAUGUGUACAGGGAAUCCGGAGGAACCCAUCAGAAAGCUGUGAGGACUAGUACACUGGGGCUCGGCGAGGUCGCAGGAUAGGAGACCGGCCUCCCAGCCUGGCGCGGUUUGCAUGGGAUGCGUUGCUGGUUCUUCUGGUCCUGCAGCAGCUCCUGGCCUUUGGAUUCAAAUUAGGACCACGGCUCUGGAGAUGUUGCUGUCUCCAACAUCACAUGCGCCCGUCCUUUGUAAGUGUGGAACCAGCCCUACUGGUUCCUUCGAGCUACACACACAGGUGACCCUCAGAUAACAUGGGCAUUCGGAGCACUGACCCCUACACAGUCACCUCUCCAAAAACUUAACUACUAAUACCCCACCAGUGAGGGAAGCCUUGCAGACCACAUGCACAGUUGAUGAACACCUAGUUUGUGUAUGUGUUGCAGACUGUGCUGACGAUACAGUGAGUCAGGGAAGGGACUGUUGUAAGUCAUGAGAGAAAAUACAUUUAUAGUACUGGACCGUAUCAGAGAAAAAUCUUAUGUGUAAGUGAGCCCAUGCAGUUCCUGCCUUUGUUGGUUAUUGAUCAACUAUAUACUUAUAUAUAAAACAGGAGAUAAAGUAAGUAGGAGAUUUAUAUGUCUAUCUCAUAUGUUAUUAAAUGCAUAUAAUAAUAGGUGUAUAUAACAAGACGUAAGUUAUACACAAAAAGACUAUAUGUUCUGAUUGAUUCCCUUUCUCUAGAGAAGCCCAAUACAGAUUUUUGUAAUAAUCCAGAGGGUCUCAAAUUUGAAAAAUAAUUCCAUUUGCAAUAGCAUAAAAAAAAUACUUAGAAAUAAGUUUAACAGGUGUUAGAGUUCUGGAAACUACAUGGCAUUGUUGAGAGAAAGGAGGCCUAUAUAAACUGAAGGACAUCCCACAUUCAUGGGUUGGAAGACUUACUAUUACGAUAGCAUUGCUCCCUAAACUGAUCUGUAGAGUCAACGCAAUACCUGUCAAAUUUGGCUUUAUUGCAGAAAUCGACAAACUUAUUAUAAAAUUGUCAUGGUAAAACAAGAUACCCAGAAUAAGCAAAACAGUCUUGAGAAAAGAGAACAAAGUUGGAAAACUCACAGAACUGAACUCGAGAAGUUAAUAGAAAGCCACAGUAAUCCAGGCAGUGUAGUCCUGGUAUAAGGAAGAGAAGGAUAGGUAAAUGGCGUAGAAUCAAGAGCCCAGAAAUAAACAUUCACAUUCACGGUCACUUGAUUUUCCUGAGAAAGAGAGCCAAGAUGAUUCUAUUGGGAAAGAAUGGUUUUCUCCAACAAACAGUGAUGGGACGUGGAGAACAAGGAAGUGGGAUCCUUACCUCACACCAUAUUCACAGUUUAACUCAAAGUAGAUCAAAGGCCUAAAGGUAAGCGCUCAAACCAAACCCUAUGAGGAAAACGUAGGCGCAUAUGUUCAUUACCGUGGACUAGGUAGUGGCUCCUUAGUUAGAGCACCAGACACAAGCAACAAAAGAAAAAUAAUCCGACUUCAUCAAAAUUAAGCAUGUUCGUACGUUAAAGGACAUCAUCGCAUAUACGAGGGAAUUAAAUCCGGAGUAUGUAAAGAGCCCUUACAACUGAGCAGUAAGAGAAGGUAAUCUAAACCGGCCAGAGACUUCAGUACAAACAAGUCUCCGCCUAAGAUGGCUACCAAGGACGGAGUAAGAUAGCAGCAUCCUUCGUCCUUAGAGAACUGCAAACCCAAACCACAAAGGGACGCUGUGCACGCACGCGGGCGCGCGCACUCACACACACACACACACACACACACACACACACACGGCUGUAAUCAGAAGCACAGAGAGUGUCGGUGAGGGUGUAAAGACGAGAUCCCUCCUGCUCCUGGGAACCUGGGACGCUACAGCGGGCAUGGCCCAGUGACAGAGGCCACAUACUGCAUGGUCCCAUUUGAAUGAAAUACCCAGGACAGGCAAAUCCACAUAGACAGCAGGUGAGGGAGUGGUCGCCCAGGACUGAGGCGGGAGUACGGGGCUUCUGUUUGGGGUGAUGAGAAUGUUCUAAAGUUACACAGAGAGGCUAGUUGCGAAGCACUGUGCGUAAACUAAAAACUGCUGACUUGUGCAUUUUAAAAGGGUGACUUUAAUGUCCAUUACAUCGCCAUGAAAUAAAGAACAGCAGAAAAGAAAAUCUACAAAUAUCCGCUCAUUUCUGAAAGAAAAAAAUGCAAUAAACAUAAACUGGAAACAAACGAUGGGUCCCCAUAGGGCAUGGGUGAGGGUUAGCGUGGGGCAGCGGUAAGGGAGUAGCCGAGUGACGGGGACAACGACAUUUCUUCGAGGACACUGGUCUGGGUAGCUCUGAUCCUCAGAACCAUGCCAACGUCUGCCUGCACACGUGCACACGUCCGCACAGCCAGGAGCAGGGCCAGUGGGAUGAGACGGACGUGCACUGUGAUGGUUGACAUACCACAAACGGAGGAGGAGGAAAGAACUGACUUAGGUAACUGCUGGAAGCAGCAUUCUGACCGUCCCCUGUAAGAGUGGGGGCCGAGGCAGCUGUACCCUGACAGCGCACUCCAGUUGAGACGUUCAUUUCUCAUCAGGUAAUAAAUCAGUAAUUGUGAAA